rnacentral:rRNA from 1 species
UGGGGAAUAUUGGACAAUGGGCGAAAGCCUGAUCCAGCCAUGCCGCGUGAGUGAUGAAGGCCUUAGGGUUGUAAAGCUCUUUUGUCAGGGAAGAUAAUGACGGUACCUGAAGAAUAAGCACCGGCUAACUUCGUGCCAGCAGCCGCGGUAAUACGAAGGGUGCUAGCGUUGUUCGGAAUUACUGGGCGUAAAGCGCGCGUAGGCGGCUAACCAAGUCAGGGGUGAAAUCCCACAGCUCAACUGUGGAACUGCCUUUGAAACUGGUUAGCUGGAGUGUGUGAGGGGAUAGCGGAAUUGCUAAUGUAGAGGUGAAAUUCGUAGAUAUUAGCAGGAACACCGGUGGCGAAGGCGGCUAUCUGGCACACAACUGACGCUGAGGCGCGAAAGCGUGGGGAUCAAACAGG